rnacentral:rRNA from 1 species
UACGUAGGUGGCGAGCGUUGUCCGGAUUUACUGGGCGUAAAGAGCGCGCAGGCGGUCGUACAAGUCGCGUGUGAAAGCCCCCGGCUCAACUGGGGAGGGUCACGCGAUACUGUUCGACUUGAAGGCAGGAGAGGGAAGCGGAAUUCCCGGUGUAGUGGUGAAAUGCGUAGAUAUCGGGAGGAACACCAGUGGCGAAGGCGGCUUCCUGGCCUGUUCUUGACGCUGAGGCGCGAAAGCUAGGGUAGCAAACGGG